UGUAAGUGCUAAGCGUCAUGCUAUAAAGCUGGAAGAUAUACUGGCCAUGAUAAAACGCCAUGAAAAAGGUGAAAAAGUGGUAGCAAUUGCAGGAUCUUUUGGGAUGAGUCGGGCAACUGUAUCGACGAUUGUACAUAAUAAGGACAAGAUUUUAGCACACAUGAAAUUUGAAGCCCCAGG